rnacentral:piRNA from 1 species
UGCUCACUGUAUGCCUCGACUGGACAUC